GGAGACGUGCCCGAGUGGUCCAAGGGAACAGUUUGCAAAACUGUAAAGCCGCCGGUUCAAAUCCGGCCGUCUCCUCCA
rnacentral:tRNA from 1 species